rnacentral:snRNA from 1 species
AAGUACUUGGCAUUAAACUCAGC